AAAGCUGUUUCUGGCGAAAACCCCAAAAAGGGGCAAUAGAGGCAAAAGUAGCAAAAAAAAAAAAAACAAAGAAAGGUGCUCAUUACCUUUCCGAAGUUAUAAGUUCACAAUUAAUAAUGUUAAGAUAAUCUGAUCCUUCGAAAAGUUAUAUUAGUCCAAGCAUAAUCACUAGGUCCUAAAAAAAUGAUCCCUGGGAGCUUACGAGUCUAAAGUGAUGGUUCGUCACUUGGAGGAGCACGGCGGAACAGGAAGCAUUCUGUCACUGUGACAACCAUGUCAUGCAUAUCAACUUUGCAUUUAUUUAAUUAUGUGAUUAUGAAUUUUGUUUGCAUAGUGUGUUCAAUUGAAUGUUACAUUGUUAGGAAUUAUAUUUGAAUAAAAAAUUGAGAGCUUAGAUGACUUAGAAAACGAUAAUUGAUUAGCUUAAUCAGUUUAGUUUAAUGUAUAGAAUCACAUAGGAAUUUAAUUAAAAAUUUGAUUCAUAUUAAUAAUAAUUAUAAAUAACCAAUUAGACAUAAUUAUGAUUGAUUAGCUUUAAGUUUGAUUAAUUAAGAUAAUGAGCUAUUAGUGUAUUAAGCUAAUCUAUUAAUAUAUAACUUAGAAGAAGAGAAGUUGAGUUCAUCCUUAUGUAAUUGCUGGAGAAAGUUUUAGAGGGGGAGAGAGAGCUCAACUUUAGAGAGAGAGAAGCUAGAAUUUGAAGAAUUGAAGGAGGUGGUUCAAGAUUUUGCAAGAAUACAUCAAAUUAAAGACUCUAGGUAAGAAUUACAAGUUUAAUUCUUGUAGAUAAUCUACCUAAGGCUUGAAUUCAUGGAGUAAUUAGAAUAAUUUGCAUGUAAUUUGAAUAUCUUAUAUUUCAUCAUUGUUGGUUUGAAUUUUGCCUUUCUAGCAUGCAUGCGAGUUUAACUUUGCAUUUUUCCAGAAUUGUCAUGGUUUAAUAUCAUAUAUUUCAUGUUUGAUGAACAAAGGAGAAAAGCUUUGAAAAAUUUUGCAUGCAUGAAGGUUUUGGUUUCAAUUUUGCUAAUUGAUGACGUUUCGAGUUAAUGGUUUCAAAAUUGAUCAUGAACUUGUGUUUUUCCAAGUGUUAUCAUGUUUUUGAGUAAACGUUGCAAGCCCUCUAAUAUUGAAUUUGUGUUUGGAAGCUCAAUUAUUCAGUUUUGGAAAACAGAAUUUGCACAGGCCGCUUGAGCGAUGAAGUAGUUGCUCGAGCGCACUUCGAGAUCAUCUAGUAUUUUUGUAGACUGCUCAAGCGAUCAGGUGAGCAUUUAGGAGAUCAAGCUUAGAGUUUGCCUUGGGAGUCCACCUUUUUGAGAAGCCAACACGUGGAGUGUCUCCGUGUCGAGGCGUUUGCUUGGAUUUGUGUUGAACCAAGCUUUUGUCAAAUUUUUUUUUGUUAAGUCUUAUGUUUGGACUUGUAUGUGUAUAAGAUGAAGUUUGCACUUAUUGUAAAUAUUAUUAAGUUAUGAUGAGCUCUAUGGAGGUUUUUGGUUUAUCAUUUAAGCAUAGCUUAAUGGACUUGUUUUGUUAAUGA